GGGUGGUAAAACACGGUUUUUCGAAGGCUUGAUUGUGUUUGUGGGGUGCACUGUAACAUAUGUUCAUGCUUCGUUUUUUAAAAAAAUGCAUUAUUUUUCAUAUAUUUUACCUUUACUCUACACUGCUCUGUCCCUCCUUGUAAAACGGUCUGAUGGUUUCCGGGUUCUAUGAAGCCAGUCCCACAAAAAUAGCAAUGGGCUCAGAUUGGUUAGCUGCCCCAGUGUGUUGUGAUUCGCUAACCGACUAGCGAAUCACAACACACUGGGUGUGUUUUUCGGUAACGUCAUGCCCAUUACCUUUACCAGUAGUCUGUGCUUUGGGGGUAUUAGAAACAAUGGCGUCAAUAAAACCAUACCAAUUUGAGCCCGAAUCGGACCCAGAAAAUUUUGAUGAAGAUGAUCGAGCAUUUCCUGUUCAAGAACGGCUGUUAAAUGACGUUUCAGAAUGUUAUGUUUAUUAUUGUUGUGAUCUAAUACUUUUUUAGAUACGCUGUUAUUUAAUUGUACUAAUUAUAAUAGUUGAUGUUGAAUUUAUAACAAUAAUAAGUGUUUGUCUAUUAACAAAAGUAUUCAAGAACCUUUUUUAUUUUAAAAAUAUAUAUAUUUUAUUAGGUGUACAUGUAAUAACUGUGCAAAAAUGCCAACUGAAGAGGAAAACAUCUGCUGCAAAGAAAUACAGAAGGUUGUAAAACGAAUGAUGGAGGUUCCAGACCCUCCUAAAUAUAUGGUUGAGCAUCCAGGUUUUGAACCAAACUGCUUAAAUCCGUAUACUUUGCAAAAUAUCAAUAAUAUUUAGAGCCGACUAUGGACCAGUGAGACGCAGAAAUGAAGAGGAGUAAGUAUUUAUUAAAUUUAAUGAAAUUAUGUUGUGUAAAAUAAUAUAAAUAAAAAACAAAUAUAUAUUUACACAAGACAUGUUAUUCAAAGACAAAAAUUAAAUCAAAAUAUCAAUUUUUAUCAAACAUAUUUUCACAUCACAUAUACAUGUUUCCAAUAUACCACUGGUUUUAUACUCAAUAUUGAGGUUUUCUGUUCCUGCCAUAGGCGCUUCCGUUAUCUGGCCUUUCGCAGUUUUGUCAGCUGGUGCUGGGGCUACCUAGGACGUAGUGUGAGAGUUGUCAUCCCCUCAUGUGUUGUUAACCGGAUCCGCCUACAGUUUCCUGAUCCAGCGGGACAGUAUGUUGGGUUCCGGCCACCCCUCGACUGAAUCGUGACACAUGCUGGGCAAUCACCUCUUCUUUGGAAGGUUUUUCAUACUGUGAUGACAGAGGAGGUGGAAUGGGGAUUGCAUGCAGCUCUUCCGCAUAUGGCUUGGGGUCCACAAAGACUUUAUGUAACAGAAGGCUCAUAAGGUCAUCGACAUAGUCUGUAAAAAACAGAAUACUGAGUCCCUCUAUGGGUUUAUAUAAUUACUGAUAAAUAAUCUACCUUUGUUUUAUAAUUAACAUUUGUGUAAUAUUUAUAAAUAUUUUUUGUAAGCUUAUAUUUAUUUCAUUAUAGCUUUUGUUAUAUUAUUGUUAAUAAAACAUUUUACAACUUA